UCUCCGUAGGUGAACCUGCGGAGGGAUCACUACAGGCUUGCAAAAGCUCUGAAACCACUGUUCAUCUCCAUGAAUCUGCUUCUGCGGGCCGUCUUCGUUCGGGGCCCUAGCCACAAAGAGCCCGUCGUUGACCCCUCUACCUUGACGCCCUUAUGAUUUCUGAGUUAUUAUAUUAAUUACAAAACACUUUCAACAACCGCUCUCUUGGCUCUAGCAUCGAUGAAAAAAGCCGAAGAUACGAAUAGACCACAUUUGUACUCCUGUCUCUCCUUUCCCUCU
rnacentral:misc_RNA from 1 species